AUAGUACUCCCUCCGUCCGGAAAUACUUGUCAUCAAAAUGAAUAAAAGGGGAUGUAUCUAGAUGUAUUUUAGUUCUAGAUACACCCCUUUUUGUCUAUUUUGAUGACAAAUUUUUUCGGACGGAGGGAGUACUAG
rfam:Triticum aestivum genome assembly, contig: Triticum_aestivum_CS42_TGACv1_scaffold_034125_1BL